CCACUCCUACGGGGGGCAGCAGUGAGGAAUAUUGGUCAAUGGGCGGAAGCCUGAACCAGCCAAGUCGCGUGAGGGAUUAAGGCCCUGCGGGUCGUAAACCUCUUUUGCCGGGGAGCAGUGGUCCGGACGCGUCCGGACCGGGAGAGUACCCGGAGAAAAAGCAUCGGCUAACUCCGUGCCAGCAGCCGCGGUAAUACGGAGGAUGCGAGCGUUAUCCGGAUUUAUUGGGUUUAAAGGGUGCGUAGGCGGGCAUUUAAGCCGGCGGGCAAAUGGCGGGGCGCAAACCCGGCCUGCCGUCGGAACUG
rnacentral:rRNA from 1 species